rnacentral:tRNA from 1 species
GCGGGAGUAGCUCAGUGGUAGAGCUCCUGCCUUCCAAGCAGGAUGUCGAGGGUUCGAAUCCCUUCUCCCGCUCCA